rnacentral:rRNA from 1 species
GACGAACGCUGGCGGCGUGCUUAACACAUGCGAGUCGAACGGUAAGGCCCUUCGGGGUACACGAGUGGCGAACGGGUGAGUAACACGUGGGUGAUCUGCCCUGCACUUCGGGAUAAGCCUGGGAAACUGGGUCUAAUACCGGAUAGGACUCCGGACUGCAUGGUCUGGGGUGGAAAGCUUUUGCGGUGUGGGAUGGGCCCGCGGCCUAUCAGCUUGUUGGUGGGGUGAUGGCCUACCAAGGCGACGACGGGUAGCCGGCCUGAGAGGGUGACCGGCCACACUGGGACUGAGAUACGGCCCAGACUCCUACGGGAGGCAGCAGUGGGGAAUAUUGCACAAUGGGCGCAAGCCUGAUGCAGCGACGCCGCGUGAGGGAUGACGGCCUUCGGGUUGUAAACCCCUUUCAGCAUCGACGAAGCGAAAGUGACGGUAGGUGCAGAAGAAGGACCGGCCAACUACGUGCCAGCCGCCGCAGUAA